rnacentral:tRNA from 1 species
UCUAAUAUGGCAGAAUAAUGCACUGGUCUUAAACUCCAUUUAUAAAGAUUUUUCUUUUUUUAGAA